UAUAUUAAAGUUGUUGCAGUUAAAAAGCUCGUAGUCGGAUGUCGGGCUCGGGCAAGCUGUCGGCCUUUGGUCGGACGGCAGGCUCGGGUCUUUCUGCCUGAGGAACCCGGUUGCUUUAACGAGCUGCCGGUGGACGCAGGUCGUUUACUUUGAAAAAAUUAGAGUGUUCAAAGCAGGCUAGCGCUUGAAUACAUUAGCAUGGAAUAAUGGAAUAGGACUUUGGUGCUAUUUUGUUGGUUUAUGGGACCGAAGUAAUGAUUAACAGGGACAGUUGGGGCCGUUUAUAUUUCGUUGUCAGAGGUGAAAUUCUUGGAUUUACGAAAGAUAAACUUCUGCGAAAGCAUUCGGCAAGGAUGUUUUCAUUGAUCAAGAACGAAAGUUAGGGGAUCGAAGACGAUCAGAUACCGUCGUAGUCUUAACCAUAAACUAUGCCGACUAGGGAUCAGUGGAUGUCAAUUUGCGACUCCAUUGGCACCUUGUGAGAAAUCAAAGUUUUUGGGUUCCGGGGGGAGUAUGGUCGCAAGGCUGAAACUUAAAGGAAUUG
rnacentral:rRNA from 1 species